rnacentral:Y_RNA from 1 species
AGCUGGCCAGAGUGCAGAGUGGUGUUUACAACUAAUCACAACCAGUUACAAAUUCUUUUGUUCCUCUUCACCCCCACCGCUUUCACUUGACUAACCUUAA